UACGUAGGGGGCAAGCGUUGUCCGGAUUUAUUGGGCGUAAAGAGCGUGUAGGCGGCCAGACAGGUCCGUUGUGAAAACUCGAGGCUCAACCUCGAGACGCCGAUGGAAACCGUCUGGCUAGAGUCCGGAAGAGGAGAGUGGAAUCCUGGUGUAGCGGUGAAAUGACGCAGAUAUCAGGAAGAACACCCGUGGCUAAGGCGGCUCUCUAGUACGGUACUGACGCUGAGACGCGAAAGCGUGGGGAGCGAACAGG
rnacentral:rRNA from 1 species